rnacentral:lncRNA from 1 species
AUUGCUCCAGGAAAUAGCCUGUUGAGAAUUCAGUGCUAGGAGAAAGCUGUGCUUUCCAAAUGAAUCCUAUGCCUUCUAAAAAGACAUCCAUAUGAUCCACAUUUUCUUUCUUUGCCUUAGCUGCCAGGGAGCUAGCAGUUAAAUUAGGUGGCUCACAGCAAUCAUUAGCUCUUCUCUAUUUUCUCUACAAAUGUAUCUGCAAUAUUUUUUUUUCCAGAGUAAGGUCUUUCUCCCAGUGGAGAAAUCACUUGGGCCACUUCUGCAUCUAGAGUGUCAGACCCAAGCUAGGAAAAAGAAUCAUCUUUAAAAGUAUGUCAUCAGCACUCAAGACCUUUAAUGAGCCAGCGGAAUUGGUCUCCUGGUCCUCUCCUCACUCCACAGAGACUGAAAACGAACCAGACAGAGGACGAGAGUCCGCAUGCUGAACCACUUAAAUUCACAUGGCGGCUAAGAAGACAAGAGUUUCGGCAGGCAUAGAGGCUAAGAGAGUUAAGAGCAUCCUCCGUGCCUAGUACAGUCCCCAGCUGCAUCAUAAACAGAUGAAAUGAAAAAGUUUUUUCUCCCAAUCAAGCCAGCAGGAGAGCAAGGGUCUGUGGUACCUGGGGACAAUGCACCAUGCUUACACCCUCUCUAGCCACAUGUAUGCUACUGCGGAAUUGGCAAAGACAGAGUGCAACCCUUUUUAGUCAUCAACCUGGGGGAGAGAUCUCUUCUGCACAUAAAAGUAUCCCCACAGCAUUGUGAUCACACUGGAGAAAGUGGACGGGAUAAAGAGAAGGAAGGACGUUUUGUUGAGUGCCUUCUAUGUGCUGUUCGCUCUGCUGAGCUUCAAGUUUCUCAAAUAUAAAUGGGGGAGAGGCUGGGCGCGGUGGCUUACGCCUGUAAUUCCAGAACUUUUGGAGGCCAAGGCGAGCAGA